GGAGACAAAUGAUCUAGAUUCGAGACUGUAUAUGAUAUAUU
rnacentral:guide_RNA from 1 species